GAACUUAGCUUGCGUUGCCUAAGUCGCGCUUCGCCCUCGUGAUAUUGCUCCGCAAAGAUCAGCCCACUUGCAACCUCUCGCAGGUCCCGAAGGACCUUUAAAAAAGAAAGUUGAUUAGUUUGAAAGAACGAGCGAUGGACAAGUCCUGACGUCUCACGAAAAGAGGGGAAGCUUUACAAGAAAUUCAGCGAGCACCUUGCGUGCACAAGAGAAAAGAGGGAGAGGUGGAAAACAAGGACUUUAGAGGGUUGAACGAACAGCUGCAAGUCCACAAACAGCUGCUCACCGGGUGUCGGGCGUGACAACAAGUUCCCGUCAAGGUAACAUGCAAACUUGCGAAAGGUUGUUCAAUGCCCAACACUAUACCGAAGCCCCAUCCAGCCCGGUGCCACCUGAGGGGUUCCAAGGGGCUGAGAUGGCUGACGUUUUGGUGAGCGGAAGCGGACUGCAGAAAACAACCCGUGGCACACGAAAACGGAGCUGUUUUGGGGCUAUUUUGCUUGGUUCGGUGAGCGGUCGCUUUGUAGCGCUGCAACUUGUUCGAACUUACAUUUUUAUAAGCAAAAUGACUCAAAACCAAGACAAAACAUGCUGCCAAGCAACUGUACAUGUAGAUGCGAGCGACGAACGGUUCGUUGAACGGAGUUGUUGCGGGUGCGCGACGACCGUUCGUGACAUUCUUCUCCACUUAAACUGUCGACGCCCUCGUCGACGCUUGUUGGUAGUUGUUGAUGAUUGCUUCUUCAUGUCGUAGGGUGUCUUCAGGCUCCUAACUGGCUUCAGUUCGAGGAAGCUUUCGCCACUUCACCAAGUACUCUAUCUGCUCAGCUCCAUUGGGUAGCUUUAUCUUGCGGUCCGCCAGAAUGGUUUCAACUUGCUUCUCAUAGGAGGUUGUGAUGGGGGGUAGCCGAGUUGGAACACUUCGGGAAGCAUCUUGCGGAUUCGAGUGGUAGGCUUUUAGGUUGCUGGCAUGAAGAACGUUGUGAAUUUUGAACCACGUCAGCAGCUGUAACUUGUAGGAGACGUUGCCUACCCUACUGAUAAUUGGGAAGGGCCCUUCAUACUUGCGCACUAAUCCUUUGUGGACUUUGUUCCUAAAUAAUUGGAGUGAUGCUGAUUGGAGCUUUACCAACACCAAAUCACCAACCUUGAACUCCUGCGGUCGCCUUCCUAAGUCUGCCCACUUCUUCAUCCUUCUUGCCGCCUUCUCCAAGUAAGCCUUCAUAAUAUCUGUAUUUCGGUGCCACUCCUUUGCGAAGCGGUAGGCUGACGGACUACUUCCAGUAUACCCGAUUACCAUGGUGUGAGGAGUUGACGGUUGUUGUCUUGUAAUGAUCUCGAAGGGGCUUUUGUUGGAAGCAGAGCUCCGCUGCAAGUUGUAGGAGAAUUAGGCAAUGUCCAACAACUUCACCCAAUCUCGUUGGUUGGCACUCAUGUAGUGCCGAAGAUAUUGCUCCAAGAGCGAGUUUAUCCUUUUAGUAUGGCCAUCCGUCUGGGGGUGGAGGCUUGUGGAGAAGUAUAACUUUGACCCCAACAAUUUGAAUAGCUCGGUCCAGAAUCAUCCCAGGAACCAAGCGUCUCGAUCACUAAUGAUAUUGUGCGGGACUCCCCAAUACUUCACCACAUCCUUCAUCAUCAGCUUGGCCGCCUCUGCUGAACAGUGUAGGGGAGCAGUAAUGAAAGUUGCAUACUUUGAAAACCGAUCGACCACCACGAGUAUCGAUCCGAGUCUCCCUACAAGUGGCAAGCUUGAUAUGAAGUCCAAGGAAAUGCUCUCCCACGGCCUUUCUGGUACGUGCAACGACUCCAAAAGUCCCACCGGCUUCCGCUGCUCCGCCUUGUCUUGUUGGCAAGUGAGGCAUGUUCGAACAUAUUCCUCCACAUCAGUCCCCAUUUUCGGCCAGUAGAAGACCCUCUCCAUAAGAGCCAAUGUUCUGUGAAUGCUUGGGUGUCCAGCCCAAAGGGAAUCGUGACACUCUCUUAAGAGUUCAUGCCUUAAAUUAUCCACUCGGGGAACAUAAACCUAUUCCCUUUUGUAUAAACAAGUCCCUCCUGGACCCAAAAUCGUCGUGCCUUGCCUUCUUUGAUGAGCUGUAUCAGGAUAACCGCUUGGGGGUCACUAUACAGUCCAUCCCUGAUCCUGGAAAGGAAGUUGGAGUGCAAUUGACUUGCUUGGCCCCCGCCGUCCAAUUGUACGACAUUCAUGUGCUCCACUUUCCGACUCAAUGCAUCGGCCACGACAUUUGCCUUUCCAGGCUUAUACUCUAUUGCCAUAUCAAAUUCACCCAAGAAGUCCUGCCAUCGUGCUUUCUUUGGGGAAAGUUUCUUCUGUGUUUGGAAAUAGCUUAGAGCGAUGUUGUCUGUGUCCUCAGCACAGAUCACCGCUGUCAUCUCCUUCUCGUGCACUGGAUACCGCCGCUCAGUCUCGUUGAGCUUGCGGCUCUCGUAGGCCACUGGAUGACCCUCCUGCAUGAGUACUCCCCCAAUAGCGAAGUCUGAAGUAUCUGUAUGGACUUCAAAAGGCUCCAUAGUCUAGCAAUUUGAGCACCGGUUCUUCCAGAACAGUAGCCUUUAGAUCUUGGAAUGCUAUUUCACAUUUGUCAGACCACUUCCAAGGCUGCUCCUUCUUCAGCAACUCCGUCAGUGGAGUUGCACGCUUCGAGUACCCCGCUAUAAAGCGUCGAUAGUAGUUGACGAAACCAAGGAAGGAUCUCAACUCUAGCACCUUCUUUGGAGUUCGCCAUUUCGCAACCGCUUGCACUUUUGAUUUGUCAAUGCGAAAGGAGCCAUCACCGAUUCGAUGUCCCAAGAAUAAGAUCUCUGUUUGGGCAAAGUAGCAUUUCUCCCUUUUCACGAACAAAGUGUUCUCCCUGAGAACCUUGAAAAUUGUCCGAAGGUGCUGGACAUGCUCCUUGAGCGUUUGACUGUAGACGACGAUAUCGUCUAAGUAGACGACUACGAACUUGUCCAAAUACUCCUUGAAUGGUUGGUUCAUGAGAGUGCAGAACGUGGCCGGAGCGUUGGUUAAGCCGAAAGGCAUCACCAAGAACUCAAACGCUCUAUACCUGGUCACACAGGUAGUCUUCGCUUCGUCGCCUUCAGCAAUGCGCACCUGCCAAUACCCCGAUCGAAGGUCGAGUUUUGAGAAAUACUUGGCUUUGCCCAACUGGUCGAACAAGUCCGCGAUGAGCAAGAUGGGAUACUUGUUCUUCACUGUCACUUUGUUGAGGGCUCGGUAAACGACGCGUAGUCGGAGGCUCCUAUCUUGUUUCUUCUGGAAGAGAACUAGAGCUCCGAAUGGUGCUUUAGAGCUGCGGAUGAGACCACCGCUUAGAAGUUCACCUAACUGCUUUCUGAGUUCAGCCAACUCUGGUGGGGGCAUGCGGUAGGGUGGUCUCGCUGGAGGCUUCACUCCUGGCUCCAGCUUGAUGUUGUGAUCUACGCCUCUGCGUGGUGGAAGAGUCUUCGGCAACUCGGGUGGCAUAACCUCAGUGAACUCUUUCAGGACGUUCGCCACCACAACAGGUUCUUGAAUGGCCUUCUCGUCGAGUGGCUCUAGCUUCAUAGCAGCCACGAAGGUUAAUUCACCUUUUUGCACCCCUUUCUUCAGUUGCAAUGCCGAUAUAUGUUGGGGUUCCUUGGUUCCUCUCUGAGAGACGGGAACCACGCAGGGGUCGUCACCUCCCAUCAUACACAAGGAGUUUAGGAACGGCAUAGGCACCAACUUCGCCGCAUGCAUGAACUCCAUUCCAAGAAUCACUUGGAAGUCGUCCAGUGGCAUCGUCAUUAUGUUGGUGUUCCCGCUCCAUGAUCUUGAUGGGAACUCCCUUCGCCAACCCGGAGAUUCGCUUGGCCUCCGAGUUCAUCGCCUUCAUUCGACUUGGGCUCUUCUCCAAGAUCAACCCAAGUCGCUUUGCUUCUCGAUCGGUAAUGAAGUUGUGGGUAGCACCCGUGUCUACCAUUGCACGGGUCGCUUGGCCAUUUAGCUUGAUGUCUACAUAUAUCAGCUCACUACUUCCUGCUUUUUGUAGCCUUGUCUUCGUGCUCUCCCCCACUUGACCUCGCAUGACGUUCAACAAACGCAUUGCUCCCAUCCGAGGUCCUUGCGAGUCCUCGUCGUCGCUGCUGGAUUCAGAACUGCUCGAACUAAGAGCGACAGCCUUGCCUUUGUCUGAUUUGGGGGGGUGAAUGGAAGCUGUUAAAGCAUUAAGUGCUUGUUUUUGUGGGGCACUCCCUCACCAUGUGCGGCCCUCCGCACAAGAAGCAUCCGCCAGGUUUUCGGGUCUUGCCUUUCGAGCUUGGCCCUUUGUGGGAACUUUUCUUAUUUUGUUCGCCCCCAACUCCUUCCCCCAAGAAUAUUUUGGAGGGCGAUUGCUUGAAGAUUGUUUCCUUCUUCCCGGGUCUUCAGAGGAAACAAAGUCGGUGAGCCUUUCUGCAGCAGCAAUUGCCCCAACCACAUCGGUGACAUUCCUUUGAUUUAGUUCUUGUUGAGCUCAUGGCUUCAAACCAUCGAGGAAGCUGAACAGCUUGUCCUUCUCGGACAUGUCCUGUAUGUCAGCAUUAGCGUAGAAAAUUGUUUCACGUAGUCUCGGAUGGAAGUACUCUGACGGAGUUGUCUUAACUUCCUUCUUGUGACGAACUCUGUGUUCUCCGGUAGGAACUGAGUUCUUAACCCCCGCUUCAAGUCCUCCAAUGUGUCAACCCGACAUCGACCUUGUUGGAUUUCCUCCCAACGGGUUCGCCACCAAAGUUUUGCAUCUCUGUUCAGAUACAUUGUUGCUAUAGAAACUUUGGGAUCUUUAGAAUCGGGCCUCGUAGCUCGAAAGUAUUGUUCCAUGUCGAAUAGAAAAUUCUCGAGCUCUUUGGCAUCUCUGGCCCCUCCAUAACCAUGUGGCUCGGGUGCCCUUAAGUUUUAUGGUGGUGCAACGCGGGUGUUGCUUCCUCUCGCAUUUAGUGCUCUUGUGAGCAUGGCCACCCUUGAAGUGAGUUCCGCCACAACUUCCUGUAGGUGUUGCACAGAGUCUUUGGUGUCAUUUGACAGUCGAUCGACUAGGGCCUCGACCUUGUCGAUCCUGGACUUCGCUUCCUCUUGCGAGCUCUCUACCCUAACAAGCCUUUGUUGGCCAUGGUAGAGUUCCUCCAAGCUCGCUUCAAGAACAUCCAAGCGGGUUUCCGCCGUUGUGAGUCUCUCUUUGUGACUCUUUUUCCCAGUUGGCACUCUAGAUUGCGCCUCCUCUGCUCACGGAGAGUAGCCAACUUCUCGCUCAUCAUGUUCGCUGCCGCGCUCCUCUUGAGCGGCUCCAACAGCAUGAGAGUGAGUGUGCACAUGCAGCCCACCUGUGGCUGCUUGGGGCAAGGGUCCGUCUUGCCCCAUCUUGCUUGAUUCGCCACGAUGCUUUGCCAUGACGAAGUUACGAAGUUCCUUCACUGCUCACUCGAAGUGCUUGCCUGCUUUGAUACCACAAUGUCACGACCUUAGCUGGAAUUGCCUAAGGCGUGAGGCACCCUUGCGGCCAAGACGCGAACUUAGCUUGCGUUGCCUAAGUCACGAGGCACCCUUGCGGCAAAGAUGCAAACUUAGCUUGCGUUGCCUAAGUCGCGCUUCGCCCUUGCGAUAUUGUUCCGCAAAGAUCAGCCCACUUGCAACCUCUCGCAGGUCCCGAAGGACCUGUAAAAGAGAAAGUUGAUUAGUUUGAAAGAACGAGCGACGGACAAGUCCCGACGUCUCACGAAAAGAGGGGAAGCUUUACAAGAAAUUCAGCGAGCACCUUGCGUGCACAAGAGAAAAGAGGGAGAGGGGGAAAACAAGGACUUUAGAGGGUUGAACGAACAACUGCAAGUCCACAAAUAGCUGCUCACCGGGUGCCGGGCGCGACAACAAGUUCCCG
rnacentral:lncRNA from 1 species